UACGAAGGACCCAAGCGUUAUCCGGAUUUAUUGGGUUUAAAGGGUGCGUAGGCGGGCUAUUAAGUCAGUGGUGAAAGCUCUCGGCUCAACCGGGAAAUUGCCAUUGAUACUGAUGAUCUUGAGUAUGAUUGAGGUGGGCGGAAUGUGUCAUGUAGCGGUGAAAUGCUUAGAUAUGACACAGAACACCGAUUGCGAAGGCAGCUCACUAAGCCAUAACUGACGCUGAUGCACGAAAGCGUGGGGAGCAAACAGG
rnacentral:rRNA from 1 species